rnacentral:rRNA from 1 species
CGAGCACGCGCGUGUGGCAUAUCAAUAAGCGGAGGAAAAGAAACUAACAAGGAUUCCCUUAGUAACGGCGAGUGAAGCGGGAAGAGCUCAAAUUUGAAAUCUUCAAGGUUCUACCUUGACGAAUUGUAGUUUAUAGAAGUGUUUUCUGUUAGUGGAGAUGGCAAAAGUUCUUUGGAAUAGGACAUCAUAGAGGGUGAGAAUCCCGUAUUUGGUCAUUCCUCCUAGCGUUGUGAUACACUUUCAACGAGUCGGAUUGUUUGGGAAUGCAGUCCAAAAUGGGUGGUAAAUUUCAUCUAAAGCUAAAUAUUGGCGAGAGACCGAUAGCGAACAAGUACCGUGAGGGAAAGAUGAAAGGAACUUUGAAAAGAGAGUUAAACAGUACGUGAAAUUGUCAAAAGGGAAGCGUUUGACACCAGUGUUGUUUUUCCGAAAAUCAAUUACGAAUGUUUUGUUUUUGAGGAGUUAUGACUUCAUCGGCUUGCUCCUUUCUUUACGAAACUUUCUUAAUGCACUUUUCGGUUAACAAGUCAACAUCAAUUUCUUUUGUUGUAAAAGGGUAUGAGGAAGGUGGCUUUCUUUUCGGAGAAAGUGUUUAUAGCCUUGUAGCCUCUACAAUCGGAGAGAUUGAGGUCUGCAGCGUAGAUCCUUCGGGGUUAGAUACGUUUGUGCUAAGUUAUAGCUUUUCAUAGACAACUUGUUGACUAUGUUUAGUCUUGUAGCUUACUCGCUGAUGCUACUUUACCUACGCUUAGGAUGUUGAACUCUAUCACACACAG